rnacentral:lncRNA from 1 species
CAUUUGUUUCAUCCACCUCUGUCGAUGAAUGUAUUAUAGUUUCAUUGUUGCAAAUCAUCAUUAACCAAACCCUUAUAGGAAAUUGUAUUCUCAUACAUAUGAUGGUGUAUUUAGCCAUUAUCUUGCUUAUGCAUGAUCAAAUAGGUUACAGAUAGUGCAUACGCAUGCAUGUACAUGGAGUACUUAAUUAACAAAUGUGUUGUUAGGCAUAUGAGACAUCAGUAUUAAAAGUUUAGCCAGAACAUUGUCAGAUUCUUCAUGAUUAAUUAGAUAAAGCCAAAGUAUUGGUCUCAAGACCAGAGCUGAUGAAACCAAAUAAAAAGAGCUAGUUUAUUCUAGCGCUUUCUAUAUUACUGCUAGAGUUCAUUUUUGGGGAGAAAUUUUGGUCAAUUUCGUUAUACGUCUGCAAAGUGAUAUAUAUGUUCACACAUUAAUUCCCGUCGUAAUGCUCGUUGUCAGA